GACGAACGCUGGCGGCGUGCUUAACACAUGCAAGUCGAACGGAAAGGCCCUGCUUUUGUGGGGUGCUCGAGUGGCGAACGGGUGAGUAACACGUGAGUAACCUGCCCUUGACUUUGGGAUAACUUCAGGAAACUGGGGCUAAUACCGGAUAGGAGCUCCUGCUGCAUGGUGGGGGUUGGAAAGUUUCGGCGGUUGGGGAUGGACUCGCGGCUUAUCAGCUUGUUGGUGGGGUAGUGGCUUACCAAGGCUUUGACGGGUAGCCGGCCUGAGAGGGUGACCGGCCACAUUGGGACUGAGAUACGGCCCAGACUCCUACGGGAGGCAGCAGUGGAGAAUAGUGCACAAUGGGCGGAAGCCUGAUGCAGCAACGCAGCGUGCGGGAUGACGGCCUUCGGGUUGUAAACCGCUUUCGCCUGUGACGAAGCGUGAGUGACGGUAAUGGGUAAAGAAGCACCGGCUAACUACGUG
rnacentral:rRNA from 1 species